UACGAAGGGUGCAAACGUUGCUCGGAAUUAUUGGGCGUAAAGCGCACGUAGGCGGCUUAGCAAGUCGGAUGUGAAAUCCCUCGGCUCAACCAAGGAAGUGCAUCCGAAACUGCAGAGCUUGAGUACUUAAGAGGAUCGCGGAAUUCCCGGUGUAGAGGUGAAAUUCGUAGAUAUCGGGAGGAACACCUGUGGCGAAAGCGGCGCACUGGACCACAACUGACGCUGAGGCGCGAAAGCUAGGGGAGCAAACAGG
rnacentral:rRNA from 1 species